UAGGAAUUUUGCGCAAUGGGGGAAACCCUGACGCAGCAACGCCGCGUGAAGGAUGAAGGCCCUCGGGUUGUAAACUUCUUUUAGCAGGAAAGAAAAAAAUGACGGUACCUGCAGAAAAAGCACCGGCUAACUCUGUGCCAGCAGCCGCGGUAAUACAGAGGGUGCAAGCGUUAUUCGGAAUUACUGGGCGUAAAGAGCGCGUAGGCGGUUUGUUAAGUUCGUUGUGAAAGCCCUGGACUCAAUCCGGGAAGUGCAGCGAAUACUGGCAAACUAGAGUAUAGGAGAGGAGAGUGGAAUUCCUGGUGUAGAGGUGAAAUUCGUAGAUAUCAGGAGGAACAACAGUGGCGAAGGCGACUCUCUGGACUAUUACUGACGCUGAGGCGCGAAAGCGUGGGGAGCAAAC
rnacentral:rRNA from 1 species